GGCUAUUUUGUGCUGUGGACAUUGUAGAGUCUAAGACAAGUACCUUUCCUGUGAGGUUAGUGAACGAAAGUUUUUGGCUUUAUCACUUGAGGCAUUUGCUCUGCUCCUCCUACUCUGCCUUUUGGGUGGGGCUUAUCAGGUUCUCCAUUGGCAGGCAGGGCUCUAACUGCAGUGACUUGUUUGGCUGUUGUAGUUGCUUAGGAACAGCAGCACUUCAGAAAGAGUGAUGGCACUGCUGAGGCGCACUGAGCAUCCCACUGCAGGAAACACUGAGGCUUGGGAAGAUACACAUGCAAAAUGGGAACAAGCAACAAAACUAAUCCUUAGCUAUCCAAAAGCCCAAGUGGAAGAUGGCCAGGUAAGUUUGUAAAGUUGCCUUUUGUCUAUUAACUGAUCUGCUAAAUAUAUGUACUUCACUUUGGUAAUCUUUCACAAGUCACUCAGUAAAGUAAGCAUAUAGUUGUCUGAAGACUGUUAUUUAGUUGUGGUUUAUCUAGACCUGUACUUUGUAAUAUGAUAGCCACUAGCUACGUGU
rnacentral:lncRNA from 1 species